CUCGUAGGCGGUUCGUCGCGUCCGGUGUGAAAGUCCAUCGCUUAACGGUGGAUCCGCGCCGGGUACGGGCGGGCUUGAGUGCGGUAGGGGAGACUGGAAUUCCCGGUGUAACGGUGGAAUGUGUAGAUAUCGGGAAGAACACCAACGGCGAAGGCAGGUCUCUGGGCCGUCACUGACGCUGAGGAGCGAAAGCUGGGGAGCGAACA
rnacentral:rRNA from 1 species